UACGGAGGAUGCAAGCGUUAUCCGGAAUUAUUGGGCGUAAAGCGUCCGCAGGUGGCUGUGUAAGUCUGCUGUUAAAGAGUGAGGCUCAACCUCAUAAAAGCAGUGGAAACUACACAGCUAGAGUGCGUUCGGGGCAGAGGGAAUUCCUGGUGUAGCGGUGAAAUGCGUAGAGAUCAGGAAGAACACCGGUGGCGAAGGCGCUCUGCUAGGCCGCAACUGACACUGAGGGACGAAAGCUAGGGGAGCGAAUGGG
rnacentral:rRNA from 1 species